ACGAACGCUGGCGGCGUGCUUAACACAUGCAAGUCGAACGGAAAGGCCCUGCUUUUGUGGGGUGCUCGAGUGGCGAACGGGUGAGUAACACGUGAGUAACCUGCCCUUGACUUUGGGAUAACUUCAGGAAACUGGGGCUAAUACCGGAUAGGAGCUCCUGCUGCAUGGUGGGGGUUGGAAAGUUUCGGCGGUUGGGGAUGGACUCGCGGCUUAUCAGCUUGUUGGUGGGGUAGUGGCUUACCAAGGCUUUGACGGGUAGCCGGCCUGGGAGGGUGACCGGCCACAUUGGGACUGAGAUACGGCCCAGACUCCUACGGGAGGCAGCAGUGGGGAAUAUUGCACAAUGGGCGGAAGCCUGAUGCAGCAACGCCGCGUGCGGGAUGACGGCCUUCGGGUUGUAAACCGCUUUCGCCUGUGACGAAGCGUGAGUGACGGUAAUGGGUAAAGAAGCACCGGCUAACUACGUG
rnacentral:rRNA from 1 species